UACGUAGGGGGCGAGCGUUGUUCGGAAUUACUGGGCGUAAAGGGCGCGUAGGCGGCCCCUUUUGUCGCGUGUGAAAGCCCCGGGCUCAACCUGGGAGGUGCGCGCGAAACGGGGGGGCUUGAGUUCGGGAGAGGAGCGUGGAAUUCCCAGUGUAGAGGUGAAAUUCGUAGAUAUUGGGAAGAACACCGAUGGCGAAGGCAGCCAUCUGGACCGACACUGACGCUGAGGCGCGAAAGCGUGGGGAGCAAACAGG
rnacentral:rRNA from 1 species